UGGACAGAUUAUUGUAUUCGACUGCACUCGACUGUAUUCACGGUGUGAAACAGGGGAUUACACUGUUUUUAAACAGAAAGUGAAUCAAUUAACAUAAUAGACUCCU
rfam:Nicotiana attenuata strain TT chromosome 8, whole genome shotgun sequence.